GACGAAUGCUGGCUGCGUGCUUAACACAUGCAAGUCGAACGGUGAAGGGGAGCUUGCUCCCCGGAUCAGUGGCGAACGGGUGAGUAACACGUGGGCAACCUGCCCCUCACUCUGGGAUAACUCCGGGAAACCAGGGCUAAUACCGGAUACGACCGGGAGCGACAUCGCUCCUGGUGGAAAGAACUUCGGUGAGGGAUGGGCCCGCGGCCUAUCAGCUAGUUGGUGGGGUAACGGCCCACCAAGGCGACGACGGGUAGCCGGCCUGAGAGGGCGACCGGCCACACUGGGACUGAGACACGGCCCAGACUCCUACGGGAGGCAGCAGUGGGGAAUAUUGCGCAAUGGGCGAAAGCCUGACGCAGCGACGCAGCGUGAGGGACGAAGGCCUUAGGGUUGUAAAGCUCUUUCAGCUGGGAAGAUAAUGACUGUACCAGCAGAAGAAGCCCCGGCUAACUCCGUGCCAGCCGCCGCGGUAAGAC
rnacentral:rRNA from 1 species